rnacentral:lncRNA from 1 species
GGCUUAGCAGACUGAUAAUCUAAGUUCUCAGAACUUCUCUCACCCUAGUUUGAAAACCUUGCCCCGGGGAAGUGUUUCUCUGAAGAGAGACUAUUAUUUACCUUUGUUUUGUUUAUGGAAAAGAAAAGUACAAAUGCUGCAUUUAUUGAGAGACUGAAAGGAUGGCAGAUAAAAAUUUCCUCUUCCCUUUGAGACUUUGACAAAUUUCACUGAUAAUCUUUUAAUUCAAAACAACAUCUCAGAUUUUGUCAACGAAGAACAGACUUACUUCAUUUCUAGCAUAACGAAAGAAAUAAAGUAGAUUAAAUAGUGGGUCGGCGCACAUUUUGCUAGCUACCGUGCUGAUGUGUCUGUCUAUGUCAUGGAACACUGUGGCUCCCAAGUUCAGCACUUUGACAAAAUAUAUGACCGCUGAAGCUUUUCUGGGCCUGUGCACGGAGAGCUGGC